rnacentral:rRNA from 1 species
CCAAUAGCGUAUAUUAAAGUUGCUGCAGUUAAAAAGCUCGUAGUUGAAUUUCGGGAUCAAUAUGUCGGUCGUGCCUCGGUACGUACUGGUUUAUUGGUUUCUCCCUUCUGACGAACCAUGAUGUCAUUUAUUUGGUGUUGUGGGAAAUCAGGACUGUUACUUUGAAAAAAUUAGAGUGUUUAAAGCAGGCUCACGCUUGAAUACAUUAGCAUGGAAUAAUGAAAUAGGACGUUUGAUUCUAUUUUGUUGGUUUCUAGGAUCGACGUAAUGAUUAAUAGGGAUAGUUGGGGGCAUUAGUAUUCAAUUGUCAGAGGUGAAAUUCUUGGAUUUAUUGAAGACUAACUACUGCGAAAGCAUUUGCCAAGGAUGUUUUCAUUAAUCAAGAACGAAAGUUAGGGGAUCGAAGACGAUCAGAUACCGUCGUAGUCUUAACCAUAAACUAUGCCGACUAGGGAUCGGAUGAUGUUAAUUUUUUAAUGACUCAUUCGGCGCCUUACG